GGAGAGAGCCUCUGCUUCAGGACUUGAGCUGUCUCUGCUGCCUCUCCAGGGGCCACCUGGCCUCAGGACCCCAGGCAAGCACCGUGGGUUGGGAACCAACCUGGUGGAAAACUAAAAUCAGCCCAUCUUCAGGUCUACCGCGGCGGAUGAAGCCUCACGCAGAACAGAUACAGUUGCUUGGCAAGCAGGGGGCUGCAGUUCUGCUCCACCUCUGGACUCCUGCCCCACAGGGGAGAAACCCUUUUUGAAAGCACCUGUGACAUAGUUCAAGAUCACCAAUGUCGGGCGAGGGUAGGACAUGCACCCUGGAGUCCAGCCAUACCUCAGCACAGCCCUCCUGCCCACAUCGCCAAGGCCCUGUCAGAGGCAUGACAAACAGCUUGGCUGAUGGCUUAUAAUGUCAAAGAUGAUGGAAACAGGGAGGCGACGGCUGAAAGAAUGGGUUGGGGACGCUUGUCAUAACUUUAUUUGUGGGAGAGGAGGAAACCGAAGCUUGAAGAGGAGAAAUGACAUAUCCAAGUGCCCCAUGAAGGAGGACAAAAGCCCAGGAGGCAGCUGUCGCAUCAUCCUCUUCCUUUCCCUGCACAUCCGCUACAUCCCUUGGUCCUACUGAUUUCACCUGCCGUUUCCUCUAUGUCCAACGUUACUCAGUCCAAGUCCCCAAGCA
rnacentral:lncRNA from 1 species